rnacentral:lncRNA from 1 species
UGCCACCGACCCUGGGCUCUGUGACUUCCAAAGACUCGCCACCCCAUUCCACAGCCUGAGGUGCCACCAAAGCCAUAAGCCCAGGGGAGUCUCUCACACCCCAUUCUCCUAGGGCCCAUGUACCCCACGCCCACCUCCACCCCAGGAGCCGAAGGCCGGCAGGGAGCCUGGAGAGCCUCCUUGAUGGGAGAACUGCGGAGCUUGCCCCUCGGAAAAGUGCAUGGGGUGGAGAACAGGGAAGGAGAAAAAAACAACAACUGGGUACUCGCAGCCCCACCGCGGUGUCCGCUUCGCCGGUGGGAGAGGAUCCUCGCCGCCCUGAAUCCUUGAAAUCCUUGCCGAGCAUCUGCUCUGUACAGGCCGUGUACUAAGUGCUAGAGAGAUGGUGUGGGGUAGAUAAUGGCUUCCAGAGAUGUUCACGUCCUGAUCCACAGAUCCUAUAUACAGAGGACGUUAAAUAACCUCCUGGCAUCAUUCACGAGGACCUGAAUGGGAGCAAAUGGGAUGGUGGAAACCAGUUUGGCAAUGUACCAGAUUUACUAUGCAGCAUGAGAAGAGGCCCUACUCAAAAUCUUAAGAAACACCAAGAGAAAGAAGAAUCAGGCAGAAGAAGAGAAGCUCCCAAGAAGCCUGAGAAAGAAUGGCUACAGAAAUAGGAGAAAGUGAGGUCAUGGAAAUCAAAUGAAAAGAGUGCUUGGGGAAAGGGAAAGCUAAUUUAAUUUAAUAGAGUAGGACAGGCCUAAAGUUUCAAUUCAUUCAAUUUUAAAAUUAGAAAAAGGAAUAAAACAUUAUUCGACAAAUAAAACAACAAAAAUAUGCUGCAGACCCAUAUUAUAUGCCUCUUCACUCAUAUUUGAUUUUAUCCCCUUUCAGAAAAAAAAAUCGAAGGCCAAGAAAGAAAAAAAAAAAGACCAACAGCAUUCAGCUUGUGGUCCUCCAGGGUCUCACCUCACUUGAGCCUAUGCUUUUAUGUACAAGUUCCAAUUUCCUCUUAAUGGUGAUUCUCUGAAUUUAUCUCCCAUGAGGUCUAUAUCCUCUAAAAAGCCUCAUUUCUCAUACCUAUGCUUCAAUAAAAUAGUCUCACCUCUUUGAUUCCCUUCUCCUGCUCUGUUCUGAGCAAUAACUCCCAUGUAACUCCAACUCACCUUCUCUCAUACUCUUAUAGUAUGCAACUGGAGAGGCAGCAUCCUUAGUUCAAAAAUCCGAAAUCUGAAAUGCUCCAAAAUCCAAAACUUUUUGAGUGCUAACAUGAUGCCACAAGUGGAAAAUUCCAGAUCUUCCCUCAUGAUGGGUCGCAUAUAUUAUUAAAAAUAUUAUAAUAUGUUACCCUCGGGCUAUGUGUAUAGCAUAUGAAAUAUAAAAGAAUUUUGUGUUUAGACUUGAGUCCCAUCCCCAGGAUAUUUAUGUAUAUGUAAAUAUUCCAAA